GCUAUAUAAUUGAUCGCCUCGUUCAAGUGAACAGAAAUAAAUGAAUGAAGGGAAUCGAUGAAACGGUUUCGGGAAAAUUUCGGGAAAAUAGGAAACUCGCAGGGGGCAGCCUCGAUAAAUUUACGUCUCUCGAUUUAUUAUUCUAUUCUUGGAUCUACGAUCAGUGAUCUUUUCACAUAUCAGUCUAGACCUUUCGCGGGGGAAAACGACCAGGAGAGAAAUGCAGCGACGAUGACUCCGGGGUAGUAGAGAACAAAUGACCGAGGUAGAGCGCGCGAGAGCGGGAGAGAAUGUUGAGAAACGGGAGAGAAUGGGUAAGACCGAUCUAAAUAUUUAUCUUUAUAAGUAUUAACGCGUCUGUUAAAAAAUUUUCUAAUAUAUAUAUAUUAUAUUAUAAUAUAUUAUAUAUAUAUAUAUAUAUAUAUAUGUAUCAUACAUUUUUGCACAUGGUGUGCCACCCUGUCCGCAAUUCUCCCGAUCGUUCCCCCUAACGAAACAGAUCUGUGUUAGAAAGAAAAUACGUCGUUGACUCGACUUCAACUUUCUUCGAAUCGUUUUUAUCGAGAAUUGCGGACGCGGGACGCGUAUGUGACGAGAUAUAUAUAUAUACUUUCUAUGCGCGACGGCCGAUCUCUCGAGCCAUCGAUCCACGAUCGGGGCUGCUGUCUUAGGACCUCUUUAGUUCUAUCCCUUUGUAAACGUCGUGGUUCGAGCUGUAUGGGAGACGAGGAAGAAUGACGAACGAACGUGUAGCUUCGAUUAUUUCAUUUCGGAAGAGAACAGUACCGUUUAUAAUUGUAUCGCGUUUUAUUGUCUAUCGUUCGCGAGUAUCGUUGGAAUUAAAUCGUCGAGUCUUCCUCGUUUCUCGUGCGCUCCGACGCGAAUCGGGCGGUGAUCGUUGCUCCGGAUAUCCGCUUAUUUAAACAAGCAAGCUGAUCUUUCCCUAAACUGGAACAUCACAGUGGCCUUGACGCGAUUGUUUUCAAAUAUCCAACGUGAUCGCAAAAAAGAAAAACGACGAUUAAGACAUAUCAAAGUCUCUUAGAGAUCACCCGAUGCAGAGUUCUAUUAGAAUUUUGAUUUCAUACUGUUUAGAACAGUCGAAGAGUCAGUAAUAAGAGUUGCUCCUCCUAGAAUAAAAUACUCGUUUUUAAUUAUGGUUUUAAUAAAUCUGUGGCUUUGUAAAAUAAUGUGCGUUACAUCUGUGAGCAUCUGUUUCGAUUAUACCGUAGAAUAAGUACUAUACACAGGGUCGCUUCUGUCACUGACUCUUCCACGAUCUUCUUAUUAUUAUUAAAAAGAAAAAAAAGCGGAAUUCCGACGCGGCACUUUGCUCUCUUCGCUUUUUUAGUUAGUCUUUCAAAUUUUUAGAUAGGAGGAAAUGGCCUAUUUCGACGCUGGAUGAAACCCGUUCUCCUUUUAGUAAACUAAACCGAUCCAAAAGCGUGUCCUUAUAAAAAUAAUAUUUUUUAAUGCGGUACAAAACUGUCGAACUCUCGUCGUCUUGUGCGAGGUGUCGAGUCGAGGCGUUCGACGGAUAAGAGACAUAUCAUUUCUUCUGGGCCUUCUUUCAUAUUAACUCGUAGAAAAUUGUUGAAGUCGCGUGGAAGGUUAUUCGUAUCUUUUCUCUCAUCGUAACCAGACCGCGAAUUCACACGCUACGUCAAAUUCGCAUAACCUCAAACAGAUUCCAGAGAUGUUUGAUUAACAUUUCGUUUCGAAUUUUGGAUAUAUUGUUUAUUCUUAUUUUUAUUCCUCUUUCGAAUUGUAUUUACGAAAUUAAACAUUUAGUUUUAAAUUUUAAUAAAUAAAAUAAAAUUCGAAUUGUCAAAGUCACGUGUAACCCGACGGGCAUGCGAUGGCAUGCCCGCAGGACGCUGCCGCGUCUCUCCAUUAUUAUUGCACGUCCUGAGGACGUCGAGGACGGACGGUGAUGUAAUAAUUCGUGGUCUGGUCUGGUGUCGAUAUUUCUACAUAUCAUUCGCUGUUAGAUCGUUUAGAAUCAUCCAGCGUCAAGUGUAACUCGACUCGCGGUAACUUGCAUCUGAACAUGGCAAGCAUUAAACGUUCCAUUACUAAAUAUUCUUUUACAAUAAUUAAAUGAUAAUUUAUGAAUCGUUCGUCGACCGGGUGAGCCGUGACGUGUUCGGACGAGCAAUUUACGGCGAGGAUUAUCUUCCAACGCGUACGACGAGUGAGAGGUACCGUGUGAUGCAUUUUUUUUUUCUUAUUACCUUUACUGUUCAGUUGUACGUUUACUUAAGCAAGGUUUCCUUUGCGAUAUGGAGGAAGGCGUCGAAGACAGUUGGGAAAGAGAAUUGUAACUCCGUGAAAUGGUUUCCCCGAUUGUUGCAAACUUCGAUGAAUAUUAGACAGUCGUUUCGUUGAGUUUUUACUCAUUCUUCGACGUCUUCCUUCGUGGGUUACUUAGUGGAAUCGCGAAUCAAAUAAAGUGUUCCAAUGGAUAGGAGAGUGAGAGGGCGAGCGUGGAAAAUGUAACGGUGCUCCAGUGGGGCAAUGAAUGACUAAUUAUUAAUUAUCGUGUACAAUUUUCGUUGUUCUUCUCUCGGGGAUUAUCGUGGUAUCUUGGGAAGAUGUAUAUGCGCACCAGAAGGACAGAAUUUUCCAUGUAAUAUACAUAUACCCUUACUACGUAACUCUACGUUGUUUAAUAUUGAUAAGGAUCAAAAAUAAAAGUGAUUAUUCAGAAAGUAAUCGACCGGCUUCGGAUUCGUUCUCUCGGUCGAUACACGAAUUCAAGAGGAGUAAGUUCGCUUUUGUUUCGUCCUGCUAUCCGUUUCGGGGGUUAUAGGCUCUCAAAGUUAUGUCACACCGUGCAUAGCGUUCGGCACGGUGACCCACUUAUGCCAGUCAGCGUCUAGACUUGGUCUAGACGGGUGAGUCGGCCAAUGUGCGACAAGGAGAGCAACAGGAGUGCCAUAAAACUUGUGGUCCUCUUCUCACUACGAUAUCUUCGGGACCAGAAGUCGAAUCGAGAUGAAUUAAACGGGACGUCGAAGAGGAGGCUUCACUGUUUCGAAAAUUCACGACUCGACGGAAUCUCAGUCGUCGUACACAUAUCACUGCAACACUACCCUUACCUUCGCUGCAUGCUUUAUCUUCUCCAUGCAAGUAUUAUUUAUAUAAAAAAUACUUGUUAAUCUUGUAUCCCUUGUCUUUUUUUCGUGAAUAAAGAGUUCAGAAUAAAAAGAUAGUUUUAA